UGCCAGCCGCCGCGGUAAUACGUAUGUGGCAAGCGUUGUUCGGAAUCACUGGGCAUAAAGAGUACGUAGGCGGUCUUGUAGGUUGGGUGUGAAAUCCCACAGCUCAACUGUGGAACUGCGCUCAAAACCCCAAGACUUGAGGGAGACAGAGGUAAGCGGAACUGAUGGUGGAGCGGUGAAAUGCGUUGAUAUUAUCAGGAACACCGGUGGCGAAAGCGGCUUACUGGGUCUCUUCUGACGCUGAGGCACGAAAGCUAGGGUAGCGAACGGGAUUAGAUA
rnacentral:rRNA from 1 species